rnacentral:rRNA from 1 species
UGUUGGGAAUGCAGCUCAAAAUGGGUGGUAAAUUUCAUCUAAAGCUAAAUAUUGGCCAGAGACCGAUAGCGCACAAGUAGAGUGAUCGAAAGAUGAAAAGCACUUGGAAAGAGAGUUAAAUAGUACGUGAAAUUGUGAAAGGGAAGCGCUUGCAACCAGACUCGCAUGCCGUCGAUCAUCCUGGGUUCUCCCUGGUGCACUCGGCGAUAUUCGGGCCAGCAUCGGUUUGGGUGGUGGGAUAAAGGCCGUGGGAACGUAGCUUCUUUCGGGAAGUGUUAUAGCCCUCGGUGCAAUGCCGCCUACCUAGACCGAGGACCGCGCUUCGGCUAGGAUGCUGGCGUAAUGGUUGUAAGCGACCCGUCUUGAAACACGGACCAAGGAGUCUAACAUCUAUGCGAGUAUUUGGGUGUUAAACCCAUAUGCGUAAUGAAAGUGAACGGAGGUGAGAACCCUCAAGGGUGCAUCAUCGACCGAUCCUGAUGUCUUCGGAUGGAUUUGAGUAAGAGCAUAGCUGUUGGGACCCGAAAGAUGGUGAACUAUGCCUAAAUAGGGUGAAGCCAGAGGAAACUCUGGUGGAGGCUCGCAGCGGUUCUGACGUGCAAAUCGAUCGUCAAAUUUGGGUAUAGGGGCGAAAGACUAAUCGAACCAUUAGAGAACGACCUACUAGGUGGUUAAGAGGCUUCGGCCUAGUCCCUUAGCCGGGGCGACAUUGUCAAAUUGUUCGGGGACCUCCUGUAAUUUCUAGGCUACCGCAGCCCAGCUGAAAGGCGGGUGCGCACCGGGUUAAUGACCUUGGGGAUGGUAACAACGUCUAGGUAGGGACAAUCCGCAGCUAACUCCUAAGGGCACCGCAGCCUACGGACCAAGUUCACAGACUCGACGGCAGUGGGCCUCAGGGCUUAAGAUAGAGUCGAACCACCAGGAGACUGGAGAGAUAUACCGACGUAUCUAGGUGGCUACCCGUUAUGGGUCCCGGUACCGAGGCUGUCUCAGGGUAUAUAUAUGUGUAUAUA